rnacentral:rRNA from 1 species
CCGGCGACCGGCGCACGGGUGAGCAACACGUAUGCAACCUGGCCGCCACAGGGGGAUAACCCGCGGAAACGCGGCCUAAUACCCCGUGACGCCACCGGAGGGCAUCCUCCGGUGGCCAAAGGAGCGAUCCGGUGGCGGGUGGGCAUGCGGCGCAUUAGCUAGACGGCGGGGUGACGGCCCACCGUGGCGACGAUGCGUAGGGGUUCUGAGAGGAAGGCCCCCCACACUGGGACUGAGACACGGCCCAGACUCCUACGGGAGGCAGCAG